rnacentral:misc_RNA from 2 species
CCGAAUUGUUAACAUGAGUUGUUGCUGGCCCCUGCAUGGGGGCAUGUGCACGCUCUGUUUACACAUCCACCCACACCUGUGCACCCUCUGUAGUUCUAUGGCCUGGGGGGCCCUGUCCUCCUGCCGUGGUUCUAUGUUUUUACACACACACCGCAAUAAAGUCUCAUGGAAUGUAUGUCGCGUUUAACGCAAUGAAAUA